CCUACGGGGGGCAGCAGUGGGGAAUAUUGGGCAAUGGGCGCAAGCCUGACCCAGCAAUGCCGCGUGAAGGAAGAAGGCCCUCGGGUUGUAAACUUCUUUUAUCAGGGACGAAGGAUGUGACGGUACCUGAUGAAUAAGCUCCGGCUAACUACGUGCCAGCAGCCGCGGUAAUACGUAGGGAGCAAGCGUUAUCCGGAUUUACUGGGUGUAAAGGGUGCGUAGGCGGAAUAUCAAGUCAGCGGUAAAAAUUCGGGGCUCAACCCCGUCGUGCCGUUGAAACUGAUGUUCUUGAGUGGGCGAGAAGG
rnacentral:rRNA from 1 species